rnacentral:rRNA from 1 species
CCUACGGGCGGCUGCAGUGGGGAAUAUUGGACAAUGGGCGAAAGCCUGAUCCAGCCAUGCCGCGUGUGUGAAGAAGGCCUUCGGGUUGUAAAGCACUUUCAGUGGGGAAGAAAGCCUUGGGGCUAAUACCCUCGAGGAAGGACAUCACCCACAGAAGAAGCACCGGCUAACUCCGUGCCAGCAGCCGCGGUAAUACGGAGGGUGCGAGCGUUAAUCGGAAUUACUGGGCGUAAAGCGCGCGUAGGCGGUCUGAUAAGCCGGUUGUGAAAGCCCCGGGCUCAACCUGGGAACGGCAUCCGGAACUGUCAGGCUAGAGUGCAGGAGAGGAAGGUAGAAUUCCCGGUGUAGCGGUGAAAUGCGUAGAGAUCGGGAGGAAUACCAGUGGCGAAGGCGGCCUUCUGGACUGACACUGACGCUGAGGUGCGAAAGCGUGGGUAGCAAACAGGAUUAGAUACCCUGGAGUC